AUUGAACGCUGGCGGCAGGCCUAACACAUGCAAGUCGAACGGUAACAGGAAGCAGCUUGCUGCUUUGCUGACGAGUGGCGGACGGGUGAGUAAUGUCUGGGAAACUGCCCGAUGGAGGGGGAUAACUACUGGAAACGGUAGCUAAUACCGCAUAACGUCGCAAGACCAAAGAGGGGGACCUAAGGGCCUCUUGCCAUCGGAUGUGCCCAGAUGGGAUUAGCUAGUAGGUGGGGUAACGGCUCACCUAGGCGACGAUCCCUAGCUGGUCUGAGAGGAUGACCAGCCACACUGGAACUGAGACACGGUCCAGACUCCUACGGGAGGCAGCAGUGGGGAAUAUUGCACAAUGGGCGCAAGCCUGAUGCAGCCAUGCCGCGUGUAUGAAGAAGGCCUUCGGGUUGUAAAGUACUUUCAGCGGGGAGGAAGGGAGUAAAGUUAAUACCUUUGCUCAUUGACGUUACCCGCAGAAGAAGCACCGGCUAACUCCGUG
rnacentral:rRNA from 1 species